rnacentral:rRNA from 1 species
GACGAACGUUGGCGGCGUGCUUAAUACAUGCAAGUCAACUGAAGCAGUGGUAGCAAUAUCGCUGUGGAGGUGGCGCACGGGGGAGUAACACGUAGGUAAUCUGCCUUCAGGUCUGGCAUAACUCCUGGAAACCGGGGCUAAUAGCAGAUGAUGCAGCGGCUCGACAUCGAGACAGUUGUUAAAGCUAUGGCGCCCGAAGAUGAGCCUGCGUCUGAUUAGCUAGUUGGCGGGGUAACGGCCCACCAAGGCAACGAUCAGUAGCUGGUCUGAGAGGAUGAUCAGCAACACUGGAACGGAGACACGGUCCAGACUCCUACGGGAGGCAGCAGUAAGGAAUAUUGCUCAAUGGGAGAAAUGCUGAAGCAGCAAAGCCGCGUGAGGGACGAAGGGCUUUUGCUUGUAAACCUCUGUAGUGAGAGAAAAAAAUCCCAAUCUUUGGGACAUGAUGGUAUCUCAAAAGUAAGCCCCGGCUAACUACGUG